rnacentral:misc_RNA from 1 species
GAUGAAGAACGCAGCGAAAUGCGAUAAGUAAUGUGAAUUGCAGAAUUCAGUGAAUCAUCGAAUCUUUGAACGCACAUUGCGCCCGCCAGUAUUCUGGCGGGCAUGCCUGUUCGAGCGUCAUUUCAACCAUCAAGCCCCAGGCUUGUGUUGGGGACCUGCGGCUGCCGCAGGCCCUGAAAUGCAGUGGCGGGCUCGCUGUCACUCCGAGCGUAGUAGUUACAUCUCGCUCUGGGCGUGCUGCGGGUUCCGGCCGUUAAAAGCCUUAUUUACCCAAGGUUGACCUCGGAUCAGGUAGGAAGACCCGCUGAACUUAAGCAUAUCAAUAAGCGGAGGA